UACGUAGGGUGCAAGCGUUGUCCGGAAUUAUUGGGCGUAAAGAGCUCGUAGGCGGUUUGUCGCGUCUGCUGUGAAAACCCGAGGCUCAACCUCGGGCCUGCAGUGGGUACGGGCAGACUAGAGUGCGGUAGGGGAGAUUGGAAUUCCUGGUGUAGCGGUGGAAUGCGCAGAUAUCAGGAGGAACACCGAUGGCGAAGGCAGCUUACUGGGCCGAUACUGACGCUGAGGAGCGAAAGCGUGGGGAGCGAACAGG
rnacentral:rRNA from 1 species